rnacentral:tRNA from 1 species
AGAGAGAUGGCUCAGUAGUCAAGAGCACUGGAUGCUGUUCCAGAGGACCUGAGUUCGAUUCCCAGCUCCUGCCA